ACCUACGGGGGGCAGCAGGGAAUCUUCCACAAUGGGCGAAAGCCUGAUGGAGCAACGCCGCGUGGGUGAAGAAGGUCUUCGGAUCGUAAAACCCUGUUGUUAGAGAAGAAAGUGCGUGAGAGUAACUGUUCACAUUUCGACGGUAUCUAACCAGAAAGCCACGGCUAACUACGUGCCAGCAGCCGCGGUAAUACGUAGGUGGCAAGCGUUAUCCGGAUUUAUUGGGCGUAAAGGGAACGCAGGCGGUCUUUUAAGUCUGAUGUGAAAGCCUUCGGCUUAACUGGAGUAGUGCAUUGGAAACUGGG
rnacentral:rRNA from 1 species